rnacentral:sRNA from 1 species
UACCUGCCACAAUUGAGCCCCUUUAACUUCUGAUUUUGUGCUUUUAGCUUCUAGGAGCAUGUGUAUCAAACUGUGGCAAAAUUUUUCAUUUAGAAGUAUGUUCAAGAGAUUUUGCUAGUGAAGUAAGCAACGUAUUAAAUAAGGGUCAUCCUAAAGUAUGUGAAAAAUUAAAGGCUCUUAUGGUUGAAUGGACAGAUGAAUUUAAGAAUGAUCCACAGCUUAGUCUAAUAUCAGCAAUGAUUAAGAACCUUAAGGAACAAGGAGUUACGUUCCC